rnacentral:rRNA from 1 species
UACGUAGGGUGCGAGCGUUGUCCGGAUUUACUGGGCGUAAAGGGCGCGUAGGCGGCAUGACAAGUCACUUGUGAAAUCUCUGGGCUUAACUCAGAACGGCCAAGUGAUACUGUCGCGCUAGAGUGCAGAAAGGGCAAUCGGAAUUCUUGGUGUAGCGGUGAAAUGCGUAGAUAUCAAGAGGAACACCUGAGGCGAAGGCGGGUUGCUAGGCUGACACUGACGCUGAUGCGCGAAAGCCAGGGGAGCAAACGGG